GGGCUGAUUGCCACUGGGGAAGGAUCUCUUUCUGGAGAUUCCUCCUUGGUGAAGCUUUCCCCUGCAAACCUAGAAUCUUCUGAUAGAGUACAGGAAAGGUGGAUAAGGAGUAUGGAGGGUCAGGAGGAUGUGUAUGUGAUCACUGAGCCAGCUGGAUACUGCACAAGGAAGCUGCUCCUUGCCUGACCUUUGUCACUGAGUUCUUCCAAAAUGAUAAGGAUAUAAACAAACGUGGGUGUUUAUCCAUGGAACAGUUCCAGUGGGAAAGAUGGAUAAAUCAGAACAUCUGAAUUUUUGCUAAUGUACUGACAGUGCUCUGCUGGAGGCAGUUAAUCUGCCUGUGGAGAACUGCUUCUGUUAUGCCAGUGCUUCCUGCUUUGAUGUUGGAAGCUGACAUGUUGCUGACAUGUCCUUCCCCUGCCCACUCGGAUCUAGGCUCCAAAGGACCUGUGCUCACACUUCACAGCUCCUGGAUCCAGGCAUGGGAUACUUUGCUCAUUUGUGUCUGAAAGCGAAUCUUUCCAAAAUUAUGCCUUGAUGCUCUGAUGCUAAGUUUUUAAAAUAUCAAAAAAUAAAAAUAAAAAAAUCCAAAGACUGGAAAAUUGUAUUGUGCCAAGUGCUACUAGGAAGCACGGUGCAUGUGAAAUGCAAGAAUUACUUAGAAAGAUUUUAGGGCCAUGUAUACUCAAGACUUGUAAAACAUUCAGAAGUACCCAUGCUUCUAAGCUGAGAUUUGGGAAGUGUUAUAUUUUUUCAGUUGUUUUGCUAUCAGAGUGGAUCUGAAAUAACAAGAUGCUUGUCCUAACCCCAAAGAUUUGUGUGUGAAUGGAUGGCGGUGUUAUGCCUGGUUAUGUAGAGUUGGGUUAUUAACAGGUGUUUGACUGUAAGAACUGUGACAGCAGAUGUGUAGAUAGGCUGAGUUGAAGGUUUGCUUCAGGUGCUCAGUCGUGACUGCAGGAGGCAGUGAUGUCUGGGUCAGAGGGGUUUAUUCCACCUGAAUUUUCCUUCCAUGCUCUUCUCCUCCUUCUGAAGCCAGCUGCAGGUGUUGGGCUUCCACCCUAGUGCUGGCCUGCCCAUUCUCCUGGCUCUUUA